rnacentral:lncRNA from 1 species
UGAGGGAGUAUUUCUUUGUUGGUUUGAUAAUUUGGUUUUUGCUUCUGGUUUUCAUGGGAUGAGCGUUUUGGACUGGUGGUUGUAAUGGUUCAGGUGAAGGGUUUGGUUCGGGUGAUGGAGAUGGAGAUGGGUUUGGUGGAGGUAUGGGAGUCGGCUGCAGGUUAGAAGUAGGAGGAAUUAAGGGUGAGAUAUCAUUACCUGCUGUGUCUGAAUGUGCAUCACUAGUAUGCACCGGUGAAUUCAUACCUGAGCCCAUGUUAGAGUCAUGUUCCGCUGCAGCAGAGCUAGCGGGACCCGUCGGUGAAGACGGAGACUGUGGC